AAGACUCUACUUUCAGGGAUCAUUUCUUUAGUCUGGAACUAGAGGAUUGUGUUUCUACAGAGGUUGGUCUGGCUGUCCAUGAUGAUGAUGAUGAUGAUGAUGAUGAAGAUGUUUCCUUCAGAGCAGGAAGCUGGUGAGAGGAUGAGAGUCUUCUUCACUGAUGAAGACUGUUCAGUGUUUCUGGAUGUGACACUGAAGGAGGAAACAUUGUCUGAGUGGA
rnacentral:snoRNA from 1 species